AACGCGAAGAACCUUACCAAGGCUUGACAUGGAGACAAGUAUGAUGCACACUUGCUCAACUCUUUGGACACUCGUAAACAGGUGGUGCAUGGUUGUCGUCAGCUCGUGUCGUGAGAUGUAGACUUAAAUGCGAUAACGAGCGCAACCCUCGUUCUAUGUUGCCAGCACGUAAUGGUGGGAACUCAUGGAAUACUGCCGGGGUCAACUCGGAGGAAGGUGGGGAUGACGUCAAAUCAUCAUGCCCCUUAUGUCUUGGGCUUCACGCAUGCUACAAUGGCCGGUACAAAGGGCUGCAAUACCGUAAGGUGGAGCGAAUCCCAAAAAGCCGGUCCCAGUUCGGAUUGAGGUCUGCAACUCGACUCCGUGAAGUCGGAGUCGCUAGUAAUCGCAGAUCAGCAACGCUGCGGUGAAUACGUUCCCGGGUCUUGUACACACCG
rnacentral:rRNA from 1 species